rnacentral:lncRNA from 1 species
UGAAAUCCGUCCCCAAGUCUGGGGACUGCUCCGAGGAGGGAACUGGGGGGGAGGUGACCUCACGGGGCCUUGGGAAGCACCUCUCCAGCCAGCUGGUCGGAGUGAGGUGAGGCUGCCUUGCGGGACUCAGACAGUUUCAAAAGAUUCAGGAAAUGAAAAGGGCGGGGUUGGUGAAGUGACCACGACAUUUCAGCCUGUAAGUGGCCCUCGUGUGACUCACAGUAGUGGGUGAGAGCAAGUUGGAGCACACGGUAAACUCGGUGAUGGUCGUGGGUGGGGCUGCAGGGCUGAAGUGAGCUCCCCAGAACGGGGUCGCGGCCUGGACGAUCAGCCCAAAGCACCCAGUUUCUCGUACUCUGGCUGCUGGUGUUCCUUGCAGGCAGCGGGCCACUACCUUUGGCUGCCACCCAUGCCCAUUUCCGGCUGGAGCUGCCCGUCCCUGCUCUACGCUAAGUGCUCAGAAAGUGUGCGCAUGCCGAAUGAAUCCGGGUUUGUCCAGAUGUCAUGGAACAAUUGAAAAGUUCCCAUCCUGGAGGACAGCAGUGAUGUGUUCCCGUGAAGGGAGACCAAGAAGAGUCUAUCUGUCCAGAGACAUUGAGCCCUCUUCAGGUAAGCCGGUAUUGAUGAGAAGAGCCUUUUUUUCUUUUUCUUUUUUCUUUCUUUCUUCUUUCUUUUUCUUUCUUUCUUUCUCUGUCUUUCUUCCUCUUUCUUUCCUCUUCUUCUCUCUCUCUCUCUCUCUCUCAGAGCCUUUUCUGCCUGGAUCUGCUGAAAUUUUUGGGAAGGGGAGCCUUCUGUCAUUAGAGGGUGAGACUAAUUUCUAAGACCCCCCCCCAGCUUGAUUGAGGUAUAAUUGACAUAUAACAUUAUAUACGUUUAAGGUGUAUAACGCAUUGAUUUUUUAUCUUUAUGCGUUGCAAAAUGAUUCCCACCAUACCAUAAGUUAACACCUUCAUCUUGUCACCUAAUUACGCUUUCUGUUUUGUCGUGAGAACAUUUAAGAUCCAUUCUCUUAGCAACUUUCAAGUAUGUAAUACAGGAUUAUUGACCAUAACCACCAUGUACAUUAAAUUCUCCAAAAUUACUCAUCUGAUAACUGGUACUUUGUAUCCUCUGAAUGACAUCUCCCUGUUUCCUCCAAGACCUUUUUGAACUAACUGUCUACAUAUUAUUCAUUAAUUAAUCUGAGAUGAAUAAGGCAUAUGAACCUAUCUGUAAUCCAGUAGUUUAAACUGGGUCACAUUUACUUAUCUCCCACAAUUACUAUGGUACAAUGUCAGUUGGUAUAAACUAUAUGUAAAGUUCUUUCUGUAUUUAGGACUUGCCACACAUCUCAAGUAUGUAUCUACAAAAAUAAGGGGCUCCUAGAUGGCUCAGUUGGUUAAGCGUCCACCUCUUGAUCUCAGCUCAGGUCAUGAUCUCACAGUUCGUGGGUUCGAGCCCUGUGUCUGGCUCUGUGCUGAGAGUAUGGAACCUGCUUGGGAUUCUCUCUCUCUUCCUCUCUCCCUGCCCCUCCCCCACUCACAUUGUCUCUGUCUCUCUCAAAAUAAAUAAAUAAAUAAACUAAAAAAAAAAAAAGAACUAUGUGCUCACGAGUCAUCCUACAUUCUCUUAAUGUUCUCUUAACCAGACGGUUAUUCUGUCUUGUUGCUGUCUUUCAGCCAUCCACCUACUCGUGGAAAACUGUCUUACAGCGAACCUCCUUGUAGCAGAUUUUUGUUCUUCCUUGGAAAUCACACUGUUCUGCUGUUGGUGUAAUGGAGUGACAUUCACCAGAAACUUAUUAGAAAGUCAUGCUUUCAAAUCUCCAUUUUUUUCUUAUGUGGCGUAGGGCCAUAUGUUAUUGAAUUUCCUGGGAAUUAUAACAAGUAAGGAGAGAAUUUGUCCUGGGGAAAGAGGAAGCUGGGUACCAAGCUUGCUGUAAGGAUAUUUUUUGACCAAAGGGAGGAAGUAAGUUAGUACAUGCUCACAAUCUUCAUGACUGGGGCUUUCUUGUUCCCUUUUUUCCCCAAAACCCAGUCCCCCCAUCCCCACUUACCAUAACAGAAAUGCAAAUUAAAUCCACAGUGAGGAGACAGCUUUGGCCCCUCAUAUCGAUGAAACCGAAACUUUGAAGACAUGCUGAGGUGACAUUUGAUGACAUCUCCUACAUCGCUGGCUGGGAUACAAAACGGUUGUAACUCCAGCAGAAGAGAGUCUGGCAAUACCUAGGAAAGUUAGAUAUGCACGUACCCCCCGAUAGGAUCAUUUCACUUCCAUUUUGUAGUACCUAAUGAAAUAAAUGAUUCAGGCAGAGGCAGUCAAUGGGUGAACAUUUUAGGCAAAUGUUUGACAAUGACAUUUACAAGAAAGAAAUCAAGCGGUCACCACCUGGACUCCCUGGUCAGUCUGAACAAACUAAGAGGGGGACAACUAGACACUGAAUGACCAUGAACUUGAGGCACCGGGAAGCAGGCAACACCAGUAAGGAAGUAUUUUCAAAAAACCAUUGACCUUGCAGUAAACCAAACCUUUAGAAUAAAAUUCUAAUGGGGCGCUUGGGUGGCUCAGUUGGUUGAGCGUUCGGCUUCAUCUCAGGCCAUGAUCUCACAGUUCGUGGGUUUGAGCCCCGCAUCAGGCUUUGUCCUGAUAUCUAGCUCAGAGCCUGGAGCCUGUCUUCAGAUUCUGUGUCUCCCUUUUUCUCUGACCUUCCCCUGCUCUCUCUCUCUCUUUCUCUUUCUCUCUCUCAAAAAUAAAUAAAACAUUUUAAAAUGAAUAAAAUUCUACUUAUAAGAAAGUUAGAUAUGCAUAAUGAAGAUGCAGACAGAUAAAAUCCAGUAUGUGGACAUUCAAUCGGAACAACUAACAUUGUUUCUUUAUAGGUUAAUGUCAUAAAGACAGAGUCAGACAACGGGGUGGGGACUGCUCCAGGUUAAAAGAGAUUGAUGAGGCAUAUGACCCAUGUAACGUGAGGAUCUUGUUUAGAUCCUGGUUUGAUAAACCCGGAUACAAAUAAGUUUCUUGCGAUUGGGGAAAUCUAAAUAUUGAUGGGAUGGUAGAUGAACCAAGGAAAUUGUUGACUUUGUUUGGUGUAGUGAUGGCAUUGUGCUUAUGUGAAUAAAUAUGCAUAAGUGGGUGAUGGUAAGGUUUGUUAUAUUCAUGGCUCUGAUUUUUGCACAUGUUGAAUUUUUUUAUGAUAAAACAUCUUCUAUUCUCAAGUUACUCUGAUCCAUGUCACCUUCAAGAGUAGCUUCACGUGUGCCUGGGUGGCUCAGUCAGUUAAGCCUCCGACUUCGCCUCAGGUCAGAUCUCACAUUUGUGGGUUCAAGUCCUGCAUCAGGCUCUCUGCUGACAGCUAGCUCAGAGCCUGGAGCCUGCUUCCGGUUCUGUGUCUCCUUCUCUCUCUGCCCCUCCCCCUCUCAUGCUCUGUCUCUC